UAAAAUGGCUGUAUCAUAGUAGAGCUAACAAUCGAAGCCAGACAGGAAGCAAACAAACACUUUUGUGUGUGAGCUUAACAAACAGAAAAUGGCAUCACUCAAGGUUGAGAAACCUGUUGGCACUCAACCCUCUGCAGGGCAGGCCAAGAAAGAACCUGCUCCCAAAGCUAGUGGCACCACGCCCAAAGCUCCGGCCUCCAAACCAGCCCCUAAGAAGGCUGAGCCAAAGCCUAGGGAGCCUAAGAAGAAGACAACGGGAAGCAAGCCUGCAACCAAGAAUUAGAUCAACGGCGCAAGGUGUGGAGUACAUGAAGAUGCUAAAUCACCGUGGUCCUCCCUAUGUUUUAUAAUAACAUAACCGCACACUUGGUUGUGAUAUAUGUACAUGUCUCUCAUUUUAGGCUUGGCGUAAUGAAUAAAAAGAUACCUAUAUUUUAAAAGGAA